GUUUACCUUGUCCCAGGAGGCUUUGCUGCUAGCCCUUAGUCAUGUGAUCUGGAGGGAAUGGGAGAAAUCAGCACAGGUCUAAGAUGGAAAUUAAAUCUCCUAAAGGUGUAGUUUGCCCUCUGACAGGGUGUUCAUUUUUAAGCCCUGUACUGGGAGGUCCUUCUUGAGUGCAGCCAGAAAGAAGUUUUAUGAGCUGCAGGCCUGCAUGCUUGAUGCCUUGCCUAUGCAAACGAGGAUGAAAUUCACAAGGAAAGAGGCCAACUGCAUUUUAUUAACAGAGCUAUUUUCUUCUUGUCAUGAUAAGCAUUGGAAACUCCAUGCUCGUCUCCCACCAAAUCCAGACUGCCUUUGAGACAGGUGAGAGAGCUGCCUGUACCAACACCAGGGGAAACGCUUCAGAGUGCAUCCCAGAUAUCUGAAGCAAUGGGAUGAAGAGACAAGGAAGAAGUACCCUCUCCAGUGGCGGCCUGCUUUCCACUCACCUGUUUUCAUGGCCCCGCCUCUUAUGUAAAUGACUCAAUGGUGACAGUUUGACCAACAGAAUCUAAUCAGCAUCUGGAGAGAAUCACUGUGCUCCCUCAUUAUCUCCUUAGGAUGCUGCUGAGGGACACAGACAGAAACCUCUGCCCUCACAUGGCAGGAUCCUGUUGAGGGGCACUGCAGCCCAGACCCUGCUGACUGGAUCCAGGUGGUGGGACCCACCUAUGCAGGACGUGAGGUGGUACCAUCAGAAGCUGCAUACCAUGGUAUCCAGGCCCUCUUUCACGUCAUGAUGUGGAGGAUGACGUGCUGCUGCUGAUGACUUACAGGAUCCACAAUGAGUAUCUCUGUGGAAAAAUACAGCAGACAGAAAAUCAUGUCCUGAGGACUCCCAGAGGAGGAGAAACAGCAGCUGGAGCAGUGUCUCUUCCAUGCCUCCUCAGCCAAAGACGCUGAUGAAGUCUGCUGGAUGAACUUUGACCCAUGCCUCUUGGAUCAGCAGGGUUCUGAGUUUUGCCAGGGGAGCUAUUUCUCAGUGGAUGCCACUGAUUCUCACACCUUCACAGCUGCAAGCAAGGGUGGAGCGUGCUACAUGUUCCUGGCUAACGUCUUGGUGGGUGAGUCAGUGUGUGGGAAGGAACACUACCAUCAGGUAGGCCCCAGAACAGGCUCCUGGCAGGCCACGCUACGACUCGUGCAACAACAGGAAACCCUGUUCACAACCCAAAAGCCAUCUGAGCAUCUACGUGACCUUCCACAGCUAUCAGUGCUAUCCAUAUUUCCUGAUCUACUACAGAAUGCUCUCAGAUCCUAUGAGGCUGGAUGGCUGAUGGCACUGGAGGAGUGGCCAUGUCAUACAUAAGAGGAACCCUGUCCAGUUCUUAGCAGCUUUGCUGAUCAGAGGUCCUGCCCCCAGGGAGGGUCUGCUUUCUGUCUUUCCAAUCUUCACAUCACUGUAAAAUACUCCUGACAUCCCACGCAUAUGCACCAAGUGUGUGCGUCCCCUGUUCUGUUGCAUGCAAAAACCAGCCCAGCUCAUUCUCUGAGAGUCCCAUCCUCCACCUUCCUUCAUCUCCCUUCUUACUGUUGUUGCUUCCAUUGGCAUCAUGGGUGGAUACCUGUAGAAUCCCGCAAGAAUGGGCCCCCAAACCCAGUUAGAUGCUGUUCCCUUAGACAGUUAGAAGGGGGCACUGUUCAGUAAGAAGUGUCAUCCAUCCCUCUUUCCUAAUCUCAUAGGUUUUAAGGAACAUGGUGAAAUUUCCAUUUGUGGUCCCAAAUACUACUCUUAUAAAAUAUUAUUCUUCCCUCCUCAUCUCUACAUCCUUUCUCACUCUGGAUAAUAUAUUUUUAUCUAUAGGUCUUUGACAUGGGAUGUUAUUAGAGCUCCUGUUUGUUGCAUUGAUUAGAGUGUCAAAUUUUACAGAUCCAUUUACUGCUGUUCUUUGUUAUUACCUCUUUUGCUAUGCUUACUUUGGUUCAAAUUCAUUUGCAAUCAUUGUUUUUGUUAUUCUGAUCCUUGCUCAUCUGGACAAUUUUCUGGCCUUUAAUAUAAUUAUGAAAUGGGCUGAAAGAAUGAGUGUCUUUAUUAUCAAGGACCAGUUAAUUUGCUCCUCCAUUAAAUCUACUCAAAUCCUUGCACACAAAUAAUUUCCAUUAAAAACAACAGCUCACGUGUUCACUAGCCUAGUGCAAGGCUAUAUUUCCAUUCUCCAAUCUGUGCUAGCCUCCUGAAUCAUCUUCCUGUCUAAAACUGACCCCUCACCCCCAUCUUGCUUUCCCUUGUCAUGCUUCCACUGGAGACCAUGCCCAAUCCCAGACCUGCAUUGCAUAUGGGCUAAUUUACCUCUAAUCUCCAAACUGCCCCUGCCGGGCCUA